CCCUCUCCAGCCUUUGAGGAAGUACUUCUUGUUUGUAAUUCAUUAGGAAAUUUCCCUUGCUGCUACACUUCCUCUGGUUCAGCACCCUGUGACCAGAUGGUUCAAAUUUCUUCCCCAACCUUUGCUCCACUGGGGUUCUUUUUCUGGUGCAGUGGUGCCCUAACAAAAAAAAAAAAGUUUAAGCCUCAACAUGCCCUUUGCUUUUUGUGUUCCUUCCACCUUGGUCCCUCAAUUAACUCUGUACAGUGAGGCUGAAUUAACAUGGCUUGUUACUACCUCCCUUUCAAGGACAAGACAGGCCAUCUUUCUAACAGUAGUAGUUGGACUCUCCCUGGCCUCCUCCCUUGCUGCCUCCGAAC
rnacentral:lncRNA from 1 species